UACGUAGGGGCCGAGCGUUGUCCGGAGUUAUUGGGCGUAAAGCGCGCGCAGGCGGCCUCGCGCGCCCGACGUGAAAGCCCCCGGCUUAACCGGGGAGGGUCGUUGGGGACGGCGGGGCUUGAGGGCGGGAGAGGUCGGUGGAAUUCCUGGUGUAGCGGUGAAAUGCGCAGAUAUCAGGAGGAACACCGGUGGCGAAGGCGGGUCUCUGAGCCGAUACUGACGCUGAGGAGCGAAAGCGUGGGGAGCGAACAGG
rnacentral:rRNA from 1 species